UUCUCCAAUGUUUCAGGGCCUACAAAUCCAUACCUGGGAGAUAAAGUAUUGCUCUUCUAUGUUGAUAAGUUCUACAGACUCUGGUUAGCUGAUCAAUUCAAAAUAUUAUGAACUCAUCUUUCCAUAGAAAGUCUACGAUGCAACACUGGGUAAAAAUUGAGAAAUCUCCAUGGGAUCUCCUUAAAGAAGUUGCCUGCACCGAUGACACUCUAUGUAGGUGGCCUAUGGACCUAUUCGAUUCACUGAACUGAGUGGCACAGGCAUGUGGCUCAAAAGAGCAACUCUAUGCACUUGACUUCCAAUGGUCUCAAUUGCACAACAGAGACUAAUAAAAAUAUUCAUAACUCUCA
rnacentral:lncRNA from 1 species